GACGGAGGAUGCAAGUGUUAUCCGGAAUCACUGGGCGUAAAGCGUCUGUAGGUGGUCAAUAAGUCAACUGUUAAAUCUUGAGGCUCAACCUCAAAAUCGCAGUCGAAACUAUUAGACUAGAGUAUAGUAGGGGUAAAGGGAAUUUCCAGUGGAGCGGUGAAAUGCGUAGAGAUUGGAAAGAACACCGAUGGCGAAGGCACUUUACUGGGCUAUUACUGACGCUGAGGAGCGAAAGCGUGGGGAGCGAACAGG
rnacentral:rRNA from 1 species